CGAGCGCAAAAACAUCCGACAACAUACCCGAGAGACUGGAGAAGAGCUCUGAUGGCAGAAAAGACAAGAUUUCAGUCUCACGAAAUGUGAACAAACCAUGACUAACCCGAAAUAAUCGCAGCAAAUGAUCAAGAUUUGGGAGCGUCACUGAUUUUUAUUUUGUGCUAAUUUUACACCACAGGACAACUGGAUUCUGGAUUUCGAUUGGUCAGAAGUGUCGGCUCGUUCGCAGGUUCACACGUCGCUGGUGGUCACGCCAUCUGAUCAUUCAUUUUCUGCGUUGUCUUAUCUCACCGCUUUGAGCUUGCACGCUUUGCACCAUGGAUGCCGUGACAUUCCUGAUGACGUCUAGCGUGAAAGGCAGAGUGUCCCGUGCGGGCGUGGCCAUCAGGUUUGACAGGAGAGCAGUCGUCAUAUGUUGGAGCCUGAAAGACCUGCUGGUACACACGGACUCGGAGAAGGCGCUUCUGUUGAACAAUACAAGCACCUGAGGAAGACGAAAAAGUCAAAAAAGGGAUCUGCAGGUCUUGGAUCAGUGUGGCCAUGUCAGGGCUAAUUAGAGACAUGUUGGACGGCACCAGUACAUCAACCAGGGAGAUGUUAACAUCUGUGUGGCGUUGAAAAAGUAAACAAGAAGACAUCUGGCAACCCCAACAGGAAGUCCCACAGCGGCGAUUGUGUCUGAAGCUUGUUUAUCGUUUCCACGGACAUCUCGACUGCC